rnacentral:rRNA from 1 species
UCGAGAAUUUUUCACAAUGGGCGAAAGCCUGAUGGAGCGACGUCGCGUGAUGGACGAAGUGCUUCGGCACGUAAACAUCUUUUAUGUGGGAUGAAAUUAUUGACAGUACCACAUGAAUAAGGGGCUCCUAACUCUGUGCCAGCAGGAGCGGUAAUACAGAGGCCCCAAGCGUUAUCCGGAAUCACUGGGCGUAAAGGGUGUCGAGGCGGUUGUAUUAGUCGUUCGUAAAAUCUACGAGCUUAACUUGUAGGCGGCGAACGAAACGGUACGACUUGAGGUUUGGAGAGGUGCGUGGAACUCACGGUGUAGGGGUGAAAUCCGUUGAUAUCGUGGGGAACACCAAAGGCGAAGGCAGCGCACUGGCCAAAAUCUGACGCUCACACACGAAAGCUAGGGUAGCGAAGAGGAUUAGAUACCCAGGUAGUCCCUGAGCGGGCUGGCAAGGCGCAU